CGCUGGCGGCGUGCUUAACACAUGCAAGUCGAACGAAGCUAUGAGACGGAUCCUUUCGGGGGUGAAGACUUAUAGACUUAGUGGCGACGGGUGAGUAACGCGUGAGCAACCUGCCUACAAGAGGGGGACAACAGUUGGAAACGACUGCUAAUACCGCAUAAGACCACACUACCGCAUGGUAGAGAGGUCAAAGAUUUAUCGCUUGUAGAUGGGCUCGCGUCCCAUUAGGUAGUUGGUGAGGUAACGGCCCACCAAGCCGACGAUGGGUAGCCGACCUGAGAGGGUGAUCGGCCACACUGGAACUGAGACACGGUCCAGACUCCUACGGGAGGCAGCAGUGGGGAAUAUUGGGCAAUGGGGGAAACCCUGACCCAGCAACGCCGCGUGAGGGAAGAAGGUCUUCGGAUUGUAAACCUCUGUCCUUGGGGACGAAGAAGUGACGGUACCCAAGGAGGAAGCUCCGGCUAACUACGUG
rnacentral:rRNA from 1 species